AACAGAUUGACAUGCCCAUAUUCAGUUAUAGUCAUAGCGCCACCUAUUGGCAACAGGAAGUGACAUAUUUUACGCUGCGACGAACUACUCCUAGAAAUUUUAUGACAUCAAUGUCUUUUUUGUGGUCAGUCUAAUCUAAAGGCCUGUGCGAUGUUCAGUUGUGAAGAUCUUGAGUUUUCGUUAAAAGGCUUGUUCAUGGCGCCGCGACGAAGUUCGAUGUCUCGCCAUGGGAAUAAAAGAUGUUAUAACUCAGAUAUAAAAUGUCCGAUCUUCCCCAAACUUCACAUGUGUGAUAAGAGUCCUGGCCUGAACAGAUCUGCAGGCCAAUAUUCCACCGGGUGUGGCAGAACAGCUCUAUAGCGCCACCUGUACACUUUCAACGGAGUGCGCCUCGAGCUAUGUUUCACGUACAUGUACAAAAAUUGGUAUACACAUGUAACACUCCAAUACCUACAAAAAAGUCUCUUGGUACGAAAUCCGGAUCCCAACAGGAAGUCGGUUAUUUAGAAUUUUCCCUUCAAAAUUGCUGUUGUUUUUGCCAUUUUCAGGGGUUGUACUUUAACGAACUCCUCCUAGAGAUUUAUUCAGAUCAACACCAAACUUGGUCAGUGUAAUCUAAAGCCCUUUGCGAUAAUAAAUUGCGAAGGACUUGAGGUUUCGUUAAAGGGCGGGUCCAUGGCGGCCUGACAAAUUUCGAUGUUUCGCCAUGAAAAAGGAAGUUGCUGUAACUCAGACAUACAAUGUCCAAUCUGCCCCAAACUUCACAUGUUGGAUAAGACUCUUGACCUGAACAGAUCUACAUGCCAAUAUUCAGUUAUAGUCAUAGCGCCACCUAUUGGCAACAGGAAGUUACAUAUUUUACACUGCGACAAACUACUCCUAGAAAUUUUAUGACAUCAAUGUCUUUUUUGUGGUCAGUCUAAUCUAAAGACCUGUGUGAUGUUUAGUUGUGAAGAUCUUGAGUUUUUGUUAAAAGGUGUGUCCAUGGCGCCGUGAUGAAGUUCGAUGUCUCGCCAUGGGAAUAAAAGAUGUUAUAACUCAGGCAUAAAAUGUCCGAUCUUGCCCAAACUUCACUUGUGUGAUAAGGGUCCUGGCCUGAACAGAUCUGAAGGCCAAUAUUCCAUCGAGUGUGGCAAAAUGGCUCGAUAGCGCCACCUAUACACUUGCAACGGAGUGCGUAUACACUUUAAACGGAGUGCGCCUCGAGCUAUGUUUCACGUACAUGUACAAAAAUCGGUACACACAUGUAACACACCAAUAUCUACGAAAAAGUCUCUUGGUACGAAAUCCGAAUCCCAACAGGAAGUCAGUUAUUUCGAAUUUUCUCUGCAAAAUUAGUGUUGUUUUGGCCAUUUUCAGGGGUUGUACUUUAACCAACUCCUCCUAGAUAUUUAUUCAGAUCAACACCAAACUUGGUCAGUGUA